AGACGCACAGCACCAGCUGCCACUUGGGCACGCCUAGAUCGUGCAUCCCUGAACUGGAGUGCAACUCCAGCACCGCGCGGCUGGUGACACAGAGUGACAACCGUUAACCACCUUGAAACACACGACAUGUGAAUGGGCGACCUGAACGUUGGUGUAAAUGCUGAACGUAUCGUGAUAUGCCGUGCAUUUCUACCAUCAUCGAAACGCCUCAAAGUCUGGAACACUUCG